CCUACGGGGCGCAGCAGUGGGGAAUAUUGCGCAAUGGGCGAAAGCCUGACGCAGCGACGCCGCGUGAGGGAUGAAGGUCUUCGGAUCGUAAACCUCUGUCAGCAGGGAAGAACGGUCACUGUGCUAAUCAGCAGUGAAUUGACGGUACCUGCAAAGGAAGCACAGGCUAACUCCGUGCCCGCAGCCGCGGUAAUACGGAGGGUGCGAGCGUUAAUCGGAGUUACUGGGCGUAAAGCGCUCGUAGGCGGUAUGUCAAGUCAAGGGGGAAAUCCCCGCGCUCAACGUGGGAACUGCCUUUGAUACUGGCAAACUGGAGAGUGGGAGAGGAUAGUGGAAUGCCAGGUGUAGGGGUGAAA
rnacentral:rRNA from 1 species